AGGAUAACGUUGCGUAAGCAACGGCCCGAAGGGCGAGGCUUAGCCGAGUCAUCCUCCCGGAUGCACCA
rnacentral:sRNA from 1 species